CGGGAGACUGGGCUGGACAGGCCCCUCGCCAACCCGGUCAGGUCCGGAAGGAAGCAGCCGUAACGAGUUUCGGUCUGGGUCGGUUCCAGUCUCCCACCU
rnacentral:SRP_RNA from 1 species